rnacentral:rRNA from 1 species
GAUGAACGCUGGCGGCGUGCCUAAUACAUGCAAGUCGAGCGAACAGAUGAGGAGCUUGCUCCUCUGACGUUAGCGGCGGACGGGUGAGUAACACGUGGAUAACCUACCUAUAAGACUGGGAUAACUUCGGGAAACCGGAGCUAAUACCGGAUAAUAUAUUGAACCGCAUGGUUCAAUAGUGAAAGACGGUUUUGCUGGCACUUAUAGAUGGAUCCGCGCCGCAUUAGCUAGUUGGUAAGGUAACGGCUUACCAAGGCAACGAUGCGUAGCCGACCUGAGAGAGUGAUCGGCCACACUGGAACUGAAACACGGUCCAGACUCCUACGGGAGGCAGCAGUAGGGAAUCUUCCGCAAUGGGCGAAAGCCUGACGGAGCAACGCCGCGUGAGUGAUGAAGGUCUUCGGAUCGUAAAACUCUGUUAUUAGGGAAGAACAAAUGUGUAAGUAACUAUGCACGUCUUGACGGUACCUAAUCAGAAAGCCACGGCUAACUACGUG